rnacentral:rRNA from 1 species
CACGUAGGGGGCAAGCGUUGUCCGGAUUUAUUGGGCGUAAAGAGCUCGUAGGUGGUUCGGUAAGUCGGGUGUUAAACCCCCAGGCUCAACCUGGGGACGCCACUCGAUACUGCUGUGACUAGAGUCCGGUAGGGGAGCGUGGAAUUCCUGGUGUAGCGGUGAAAUGCGCAGAUAUCAGGAGGAACACCAGCGGCGAAGGCGGCGCUCUGGGCUGGAACUGACGCUGAGGAGCGAAAGCGUGGGGAGCGAACAGG